AUUACGGGAGGCAGCAGGGGGGAAUAUUGGACAAUGGGCCACAAGCCUGAUCCAGCAAUUCUGUGUGCACGAUGAAGGUCUUCGGAUUGUAAAGUGCUUUCAGUUGGAAAGAAGAAAGUGACGGUACCAACAGAAGAAGCGACGGCUAAAUACGUGCCAGCAGCCGCGGUAAUAAU
rnacentral:rRNA from 1 species